CAGGUUAGGUGAUGUGCUCUUCCAGGAAGUCUUGAUAAUUACUCAGGUGUGAGCACUCAGGAUUUGUUGGCAGUCUGGGUGCGAGAAGAGUCCAGAAGUCUUCCAAAUAGCUUUUUAAAAAUAUUUUGGGAUUGUGCAUAUUUAUUUUGUCAACGACCAAGUGGUCAAGAGCUGGCCCUGAACUCGAAGCAGUGUAAAUUCAGAUGCAUAUCCCAGAUUAAACCAAGGAAUACUCUUUUAAAGAAGCAUUCUCUACACCCAGACUGGUUAGUCUUCUCUACACUCUGAUACUACUACCCUGGUGUGACCUGAGGCUCAGCCGACGUCAUGGCUAUCUCUCCUACCGUAACCCUCCACCUGGACGAUGGCGUGGUGCGUGGCCUGGACCUGCAGUCCUGUGCUGUCCAGCUGUGUAAAGGACAUGGUCACUGUGUGGCUCAGGGACAGGCCACCACCUGUGAGUGUAUCCUGGGGUACAGAGGAGAGUUCUGCCAUGAGAGUGUCAAUGAGGCAAUCGGUGUUCCACUCACCAUGGGGGUAGUGGCCUUUAUCGUUGGCAUCCUCAUCCUCUCCUUCCUCAUUGCGUUCAUCAGGCAGAGGGUCAAGGUCAAAAGGAAAGCUGCAGUCAAGGAUUCAAGUGGUUUAGAAAAAGACAUUCUGUAGCAUCAAGGUUUGGUUGACGGUCCAACAUCCGAGCACAUCCCCUUCAUCAGGCUUUAUCCCCGGUAUAAACAAUUAUAUACUGUAGUACUAUUUAUAUGAACUACAUGCGUUAGUGUUAACUACUAUACCAUAGCACUACUUAUAUAAACAACUAUGCUGUGGUACUAAUAGAAAUCCAUAUAUGGUGGGACGACUCGUGAAAAGUAAGGACUGUUUUUGGCGAUAGCUGUGUUCGAAUACUAACAAACUGUAUACUACAUACUUAAUAAGUGUAUAUUCCAUACUAUAUACUGUUUGUUGAUUUUUAGUAUACUGUAAAUGUCCGGUAUCCUUUCAGUUGAUUGUACUAGCGCUUUGCCUGUCUAUCUGUAGUUGAUGCUGUUGCUAUGCAACCUCUUGUUAGCAUAGCUAACAAAUUACUAGCUAGACGUUUUAUGACUUCAUUGAGAACCCACAACGGCUAUACCACUUAGCUAAGCCAAGAAUAAUCAAGCCAAUAAAUGUUGGGUAGUUAGCAUAUAGUUAAUAUACUGGCAAGUUUGUAUUAGUAACUAGCUAACAUACAGUACCUACAAGCAACUGCUGUAAUGAUACGCUAUGCAGUUCUAUGCUAACAAACUGUCAGCGAACGUAACGUGACUUUUUUGAAAAGUCGUUACUCCAGAGUGGUGCAGCGGUCUAAGGCACUGCAUCUCAGUGCUAAAGGUGCCACUACAGACCCUGGUUCGAUUCCAGGCUGUAUCACAACCGACCGUGAUUAGGAGUCCCAUAGGGCGGCGCACAAUUGGCCCAGGGUCGUUAGGGUUUGGCCGGGGUAGGCCGUCAUUUUAAAUAAGAAUUUGUUCUCAACUGACUUGCCGAGUUAAACCCCAAUAUAUAUAUAUAUAUUAAAAAUUACAUUUCUCAACAAUUUCCUUCCGUUUGAGCCUGGCCUGACUGGCUUACCUCCUUUAGAGACUGGUUAGUUGGAAACAUUUUACACAUUUUCUCCAAAACAUGACAGGAAUUUCAACGCUGGUAAACCAGUCAGUCCAACAGUGUUUUUCAUUGGCAACAGAAAGCAUCCGCUGGGGAUUGAGGUUUGAAAAUAAACAAACACUUCUAUACAGGCUGUAGUGUUCGUCAAAACAGGUUUCGUCUUGCAUACUUAGGAUUGCAUGACUAUCCCUAUUGUGCUGCUGAUUGCCUUAGAUCAAAGUGAAGUUUACUGUCCAUCAGAGCUUGGCCUUUUCAUUGGCUCCAUCCCUGGUACAUGUAUAAAUAAUGAUAUACUGUAGUACUAUUCAUAUAAACAACUAUAUACUGUAGUACUUUUAAUACGAGCAACUAAAUACUUUAGUACUAUUUAUAUUACCAACUAUAUACUGUAGUACUAUUCAUAUAAACUACAUGCGCUAGUACUACUAGUGUUAACUACUAUACAAUAGGACUUCUUAUAUAAACAAAUAUGCUGUGGUACUAAUAUAAAACCACAUUGUGGGACUACUCGUAUAAAGGACUGGUUUGUUUUUGGUUACGUCUUUAUACUGACUAACUUUUUUUCUGGGAAACCAAAGCCUCGACGAGCAGCAGCUUUUCUCACACUGAUCCUGGCCUGUCUAGUUUAUAUGGUGAUACAUGCUGUUAUGACUGAUUAGUGUGGUGAUGCACUCUGUUGCCUAACUUGUUUGUGUUGCUUGUGGCUGUAUUGCUUGUGGUUUGUUGCCUGACUCGUUUGUGCUGCUUGUGGCUGUGUUGCCUGUCUGGUUUGUGCUGCUUGUGGCUGUGUUGCCUGAUUGUUGCCUGACUGGUUUGUGGUAACUGAUUUUGUGUUGCCUGACUUAGUGUUGCCUGACUUAGUGUUAUCUCUGACUCAGUGACGAAUAGACCUACGCAAUGGCAACAUUCAGUUGCUCCAAAACAUGACAGGAAUUCCAACUGAGCUUUUCAUUGGCCACAAAGGUUUGAAAAUAUACACUGUAUACAAGUCUGGUCCCCUUGCUGAUAUAAUUUUAUCUUGUAACUGUAAACUCAAGUGAGUUUUUGUCUUAAUUUCAAGCUGCUCCAGUCUCUCCCUCUAGAGGUUGGUUACAACAUAAUGGAAGCCUGUCCAGUCAUGGACCUUCGGAUCAUACAACCGCCUUGUUAAUUCCAUGUGGAUAAAAUGCUAUUAUGUUCUUGAAUAAUUAUUGUAGACGCAUUGCAAACAAAAUAUUUUAUCAAUUGUAUUUUUUAAGCUUUGUUCUUGUAUCUGAAUGUUGGAUAUGCUUAAACCUGGGCAAAUUCACAUUAAAACAUUUUACUUCUGUGUGA